rnacentral:lncRNA from 1 species
CAUUAGAGUUAUAAUCAAAUUUUAUUGUCUUUGCUUGUAUAUAAAACCAAAUUAUAGAAUUUCAAGAAUUAGAAAUAGAAAAGUAAAAUACUUACCUUAAAUCAAGAAUUUAAUCAUGAAGGAAGUUCAUAGAACAAUUGACAAUCAUUAUGCUCAAUCCCAAAGUUUCUACUCAAUUUGUUAGAGUCUCGUGCUGAUAACAUGUUAUGAAAUAAUAAAAGGAGAGUAUUGCAGAGAAAAGU